CCUGGGACGAUUCUUCAAUAAAAACACUAUUUUAACAUUGUGGCAACUGUUUUCACAUACUUCUUGUAAUUCCUUUUAUUAUUUGUAGUCAACGUCUUCAAUGUUUUGUAGAUUUUAAAGCUCAUUAUCCUUGAUAUUUUACAUUUUGAUCCGCCGGUGAUACACAUACUUUUUGCAUAUGUUGUUUACGUAUUGUGACUUCCGGUGGCGCUGCAUUGGUGUAGUUUUAGCUACUGUAGAAAUUUGUUUAGUACCAUGCAAAAUUUUUUAAUUAUAUAAAGGUUACUCAAAUUGUAUACUACUGUGAUUCUUGUAAUUUAUUUGAGAAUUCAAAUAUUUAGUUGGACGGCAAGCGCGCGAUCCAACAAUCUGACAAUUUUCCAACUUU
rnacentral:lncRNA from 1 species